CCAAUAGCGUAUAUUAAAGUUGUUGCAGUUAAAAAGCUCGUAGUUGAAUUUCGGGAUCAGUAUGUUGGUCGUGCUUCGGUACGUACUGUCAUUACUGGUUUCUCCCUUCUGAAGAACCUUGAUGUCAUUAAUUUGGUGUCUUGGGGAAUCAGGACUGUUACUUUGAAAAAAUUAGAGUGUUUAAAGCAGGCAUACGCUUGAAUACAUUAGCAUGGAAUAAUGAAAUAGGACGUUUGAUUCUAUUUUGUUGGUUUCUAGGAUCGACGUAAUGAUUAAUAGGGAUAGUUGGGGGCAUUAGUAUUCAAUUGUCAGAGGUGAAAUUCUUGGAUUUAUUGAAGACUAACUACUGCGAAAGCAUUUGCCAAGGAUGUUUUCAUUAAUCAAGAACGAAAGUUAGGGGAUCGAAGACGAUCAGAUACCGUCGUAGUCUUAACCAUAAACUAUGCCGACUAGGGAUCGGAUGAUGUUAUUUUUAAUGACUCAUUCGGCGCCUUACG
rnacentral:rRNA from 1 species